UACGUAGGGUGCGAGCGUUAAUCGGAUUUACUGGGCGUAAAGCGUGCGCAGGCGGUCCGUUAAGACAGGUGUGAAAUCCCUGGGCUCAACCUAGGAAUUGCGCUUGUGACUGGCGGGCUCGAGUACGGUAGAGGGGGGUGGAAUUCCUGGUGUAGCAGUGAAAUGCGUAGAGAUCAGGAGGAACACCGAUGGCGAAGGCAGCCCCCUGGGCCUGUACUGACGCUCAUGCACGAAAGCGUGGGGAGCAAACAGG
rnacentral:rRNA from 1 species